rnacentral:rRNA from 1 species
GUGGGGAAUAUUGGACAAUGGGCGAAAGCCUGAUCCAGCAAUGCCGCGUGAGUGAUGAAGGCCCUAGGGUUGUAAAGCUCUUUUGCCCGGGAUGAUAAUGACAGUACCGGGAGAAUAAGCUCCGGCUAACUCCGUGCCGGCAGCCGCGGUAAUACGGAGGGAGCUAGCGUUGUUCGGAAUUACUGGGCGUAAAGCGCGCGUAGGCGGUUUUCCAAGUCAGGGGUGAAAGCCCGGGGCUCAACCCCGGAAUAGCCCUUGAAACUGGAAGACUAGAAUCUUGGAGAGGUCAGUGGAAUUCCGAGUGUAGAGGUGAAAUUCGUAGAUAUUCGGAAGAACACCAGUGGCGAAGGCGACUGACUGGACAAGUAUUGACGCUGAGGUGCGAAAGCGUGGGGAGCAAACAGGAUUAGAAACCCGUGUAGUCC